rnacentral:lncRNA from 1 species
GAUAGGAUAUUUUUUCAUUAUCUUCCUACUCAUUAGUAUGAUAUUAGUUAUUUUAUUUAUAUAAGGUAUUAUGUUUUAUCAUUUACUGUAUCAUUUUUAUAUGAUUAUGAUAAACCCCAUAGAUUGAGAAAAUAAUUUUAGGGCCAUAAUGAGAUCAUGCCAGUGAAACCUAAAAUCUUGAUAGCCCCAAUCUAAAAUAUUUUCAAUCGUUGGAUCAUCG